CUCAUAUCUAAGCGGGGAAACAGGAAGUGGCCCCUUUUUCCCCUCCGCUCCUGCUCCAGCGGCACAAUGUGAUCCACCGGCAAGGAGGGACGCCAAUAAGCUUUCCUGUCCCCGAGUGGAGGAAAAUUGCAGCUCUCUCCAUGGUGAACGGAGAUGACAGAGAAUCACUGGGAAGUCUCAGGGACUGUCUGCCAUGCGGUUUGAAGAUGGAUGGCAAAUCAUCUACUCCACCCUUAAUGGCCUGUGCUGUGGAAGAUACUGCUAACUCAGCACAGCCAUGCUUCCUACAACUCAUAAUGUCCAUCAAGGUCACAAAGCUGGUCCAGUAUCAUGUUGCCAGGAGUGGUCGUCACCAAAUCCCGGCUCUAGUGAUCUGUCCGAGGACUUGGCAGAAGAGCUAUCCUUGUCAUCAUAUUUCCAUAUUGAAGUCCAAAUGACUCUGCUAU
rnacentral:lncRNA from 1 species